AAACACGUUUAAAACUGGGUCAACGAGAAACCAAAUGCAAGAGCGUAACACAAAGGGAGUCAAGUCCAAAGAGCAUGAGUUACUCUUCUUUCCUGAAGAUUAAAACUCUGAAUGUAUGGUGCAGGGCACGGCCACGGACUUAAGUUUUUUCCAGGCUGGCCCAUGUCCGAUUUCUGAGGGAAAUGCAAAGAUGUGUGAGCAAUACCCGCUGUUAGGAUAUUACUGGUCAGGGUUGGGACGGGUGUAGUCUGGAAGGGUGGUCUAUACUGGGGGAGGCUUUUCCUGUUUAUGGCACCAAGAUUCAGCAACGCUGCUCAGGUGAGCGAGAAGAUGUGGCAGCAAGUAGGAAUAAAAAAGACAUUAAGUCCUUCUUACUUUUUAUGGGCUCCACGAAUAUGAAGAUGUUAAUCCCUCAUUUCUAGGGAAUCACACUGGUAUUGGUCACCCCAUUUGACUCUAGGGAGUAAUCUGUGGCGGCUCUGAGGGCAUCUUACACAGGAGGGAGGGGCUGUGCAGGGAGAGGCUGAGAUGUGCUUGUGACCCAUCACCCCCAGCCUUGGGCUCUGUCCAGAGCUCCCGCCACUGGCCGUGGGCCCUCUGCGGGCGGCCGAGUCACCGUCACCGCCCUGGGCUCCCAUCACGGUCGACUCGCCAACCGAUUCCCCACGGAUGUUCGUGGUGACCGUGUCCUCCCUCCCGCUCCCGUGCCCGCUGUGAUGUGGCAGGAAGUCUCCAAAUGAUUUCUAAGUCAUAUGACUUUAAUCAGACAGCACUUUUUUAAAAAACCCCCCGGAGCACAGGUACGGAGCCAGGCUCUCCAGCUGAGAGUAGCCGAGCACAUGACCUCGGGCUUGCCCGCCAGGAGAGCCACGGGAGCCUGUAUUUGCCAAUGGCAGGUGGAAGACAGUUAAGGAAGGGGGCGUUUCGCCUGGACCUCCUUGAAGGGGAGGAAAGAACCAUGACCAUCCCAUGUGUGUUGAUGCCGACUCAUCUACGUCAGGACAUUUCUGGACCCCGGGCUUGUCCAGAGAAGAGAGCAGACCGGAGCUCAAGGUGGCAUGAAGGACAAGCUCGGGUCACCCAGGUCUUGUCUGGAGUUACCAGCAGUCCCCACAAGGCAGCAGUAGGAACUCAGCUUGCUGUUCCCUGGAGUUUUAUUACUGACAAUUUCACACAUAGGAUCUGAAAGAAAAGUGUCCGCAUCACUUAGAAUCAGCAAUUAACAGUUUCCCACGUGUGCGUGUUUAUUUUUCUGAGCCCUUUGGAGAUAAGCUGUGGCCAGCCUGUCACCUGCCGUCAUCCUGUGCAACCACUGGGUCCUCAUCAUUCUGAAGGAGUGGAGAAUUCCUUCAUGUAU